rfam:Saccharomonospora marina XMT15 chromosome, whole genome shotgun sequence.
GCCGGUCCUCGGUAGUGGCUCCCGGGACAGUCCCCGAGAGCUUCGAUCGAUGACCGGC